GACGAACGCUGGCGGCGUGCCUAAUACAUGCAAGUAGAACGCACAGUUUAUACCGUAGCUUGCUACACCAUAAACUGUGAGUUGCGAACGGGUGAGUAACGCGUAGGUAACCUGCCUGGUAGCGGGGGAUAACUAUUGGAAACGAUAGCUAAUACCGCAUAAUAUUAAUUAUUGCAUGAUAAUUGAUUGAAAGAUGCAAUUGCAUCACUACCAGAUGGACCUGCGUUGUAUUAGCUAGUAGGUGAGGUAACGGCUCACCUAGGCGACGAUACAUAGCCGACCUGAGAGGGUGAUCGGCCACACUGGGACUGAGACACGGCCCAGACUCCUACGGGAGGCAGCAGUAGGGAAUCUUUGGCAAUGGACGAAAGUCUGACCGAGCAACGCCGCGUGAGUGAAGAAGGUUGUCGGAUCGUAAAGCUCUGUUGUAAGAGAAGAACGGGUGUGAGAGUGGAAAGUUCACACUGUGACGGUAUCUUACCAGAAAGGGACGGCUAACUACGUG
rnacentral:rRNA from 1 species